AUGAACGUUGGCGGCGUGGAUUAGGCAUGCAAGUCGGACGGGGCCGCAAGGUACCCGUGGCGCAAGGGUGAGUAAGGCGACGGUAACCAACCCCGGGCUGCCAUAGCCGAGGGAAACCUCGGGUAAUUGUCAGCGACGCGACGAGUCGGCAUCGGCUCGGCGCCAAAGGUGCGAUUCCGCCCCGGGACGGGCCGUCGUGGUAUCAGGUCGUUGGCGGGGUAGCGGCCCACCAAGCCUCUGACGCCUACCGGGCGNGCGAGCGUGGCCCGGCACACUGGGACUGAGACACUGCCCAGACUCCUACGGGAGGCUGCAGUCGAGAAUCUUCGGCAAUGGGCGCAAGCCCGACCGAGCGACGCCGCGUGGAGGACGAAGGCCUUCGGUUGUAAC
rnacentral:rRNA from 1 species